rnacentral:misc_RNA from 1 species
UCUUCGUUGGUGAACCAGCGGAGGGAUCAUUACCGAGUUUACAACUCCCAAACCCCUAUGUGAACGUUACCAAACUGUUGCCUCGGCGGGAAAUUCAUGCCCCGGGCGCGUCGCAGCCCCGGACCAAGGCGCCCGCCGGAGGACCAACCAAAACUCUUUUGUAUGUCCCUCGCGGACUUUUAUAAUUCUGAACCAUCUCGGCGCCCCUAGCGGGCGUUUCGAAAAUGAAUCAAAACUUUCAACAACGGAUCUCUUGGUUCUG